CUCCCACUGGGUCCACAUGGUGAGUUGUAUGAUUAUUUCAUUAUAUAUUACAAUGUAAUAAUAACCGAAAUAGAGAGCACAAUAAAUGCAAUGCACUU